UAUCAGUCAUGUUUUAGAGUUAUUCAGACUAAUUUCAGAAGGAGCGUGUUUUCCAUUACAAUGCUGUGCACGUAUAUUGGGUCUGGCUGAGGUGGAGUUGAUGUUUCCCAUUGCAGCCCUCAGUGCUAUGCUGUGAAUUGGUAGGAGGCAGGGUGUUGAUAACACAGCAGUGGUUUGGCCAUCGCUGAGCACUGCUCCAGCAUUCCCCCCCAUGAGCAAGCUGGGGGUGGACAGAGCCAGGAGAGCUGACCCCAACCAGCCAAAGGGAUAUUCUACACCAUAGGACAUCUGCUCCGCAAUAAAAGCUAAGAGGAUGGAGGAGGAAGGGGGAGCAUUCAUUAUUUACGAUGUUUGUCUUCCGGAGCAACUGCUAUGUGUGCUGCAGCCCUGCUUCCCAGGAAGUGGUCACACAUCGCCUGCUGAUGGGAAGUAAAGCAUAAAACCUUUUGUUUUCUUUUGCUUUAUUAAACUGCCUUUGUCUUUAGCCACAAUUAUGUUUCCAUCUUACUUUCUCUCUCCUUGUCCUGCUGAGGAGGGGGAUGAUAGAGUGGCUUGGUGGGCACCUGGCAUCCAACCAUAGCACAUUAGAUCUAUUCAAUGGGGAGGACAGAGUCAAACUUUUUGUUUUCUUACCCAAGUUAAGAGAGUGCAUUGGUAACUUUUCUUCCCUGGACUUACUGCAAGAUUCUCGUGUAAAAGUACACGCAGCUCUAUCCCUUCAAGCACAGUGAGAGCUUACACACAAAUAAGUGUUAGUGCAUGAUCUGGAAAUGUAUUAACUUGCUAUUCUAUGGCACUUACCUGUCCAAAACAAUGAAAAGAAUGAAGACUGUAAGAUUUCAACAUAUAUCCAGAGCUAACCAUAGGAAUGCUGGAGUUAUAGAACAACUUUAUUAGUUUUUGGAAAGUGCUGUCAAUGUUUGUGGUUUUAUUGCAGAAAAAUAAUCUUUGGCAUAAAGAACUCAGCUAAGCCCCCAAAUGGGGAAAUUUCAUAAAGAUUUCCAGCUCUCUUAACCUUUCUCUUGCUGUAUCACCUGUCUGUAGUCUUGCAUAGUGGUUUAAUAAAGUGUAUUUCAGAAAAUGAAGCAAUUGACAAAAAGCUUGUCUGCUAAAGCCUUCCACAGAUGAAAGCCAGACAUGUUUGCACGAUGGCAGCCAGGCAGGCAGAGUAUCUUAAUUUACCAUCUGUCAGAUGGAAUGCAAUAGCUGGCUUGGUGAGUACUCCAGCCUAGCUCCUCAGCUGGGAAAGCACGUUAGAGUCAUUCUCCAGAGGAGAAUGGAUUUGGGAUAGAGCUGGGGUUAAGGGUAUGUGGGAAGCUCCACUCAAACUGUUGUCCAACCUGGCCUUGAACGCUGCCAGGGAUGGAGCAUUAUCAUCUAUUGCUGCAACACAAACCAAUGAAUGGAACAAAGUGAGAAUAACAUUAAUUCCCUAGUGAAAUGUUCUACCCAGCAGUUGCAGUACGCACAUGUGCAAUUUAAAGCUGUUGCUGUAAAGCUCCAGUUGUGCCAGGGGAUGGCAGUGUUGAUGGCUUCAUAACCAAAGCUUUCCCUGCAGACAUCUGUGUGGUGGCCCGAGGUUUCGGGCCCUCGGUAGCAGUUAAACGUGUUGGUAGCAUGUUUGGAGAACAGACAUUUAAGGAAUUAAAGAUUAGGCGCGAGUGGAACUGAGUCAGUUCUGUAUGAACCGGACUAUGGGCUAUUAGAGCUCUAGUAAUUUUCCCCUCUAAGACAAAUCUUAGUACCUUUGACUAAUUUUCAUACUGCUGUCAUAGAAGACUAUAGGUUUAAAGCUGGUAAGCAGUGCUAUGUUUUUGUCUAAGUUGGAUUUCUUGCAGGAAGAAAGAAAAAAGCCAGUAAAAACACUUCACUAAAAUAACCCCAAAACAGGUAGGCUCAGUGAUAUGCAGUGUAAAAACAAGUGUAUUUUUUUUCCUAAAGUUUGAAAUGCAGUUUUCAUUUUCAAGGCUGGGAAAUGCACAAGAUAAUGAAAGAGAGAAAUAGUCUUGGAUUACAAGAUUUGAGUGUGGUUUUAAAUUGCUUAUUUACCCCAGGUAGCUAGCUGUUUUGUCCUUGGGGCAUAUGUGACCAGUCCCCCCCUGCUCCUGACCCCAGGGAUGUGGUUGGUGUGCCUAAAGGCACUUUGUAAGGCAAGCAGCCAUCCUGUGCAGCCGAGCGGGUCAUGCAUUCACUCCCUUUAACUCACUAUCAGGCCCUGAAGGUCCUGUGAACCCUGCAGACAAACCAAACAGAUUCCUUCUUCCCCUCCCUGCCCACCUCAGGACUCCCGGGCACCAGGACGAUUCCUCCCUUCCUCACUGGCCUUGAAGGUCCCAGGCACCCAGCCAGCCCCGUGGUGGGGACACAACAGGGAAGCGUAACAGCACACACCACACUGUCUAUACAAUCAAGCACUUACAGGUCCUAAGUGGCAUCUUGGACCCAAGCUGCUGCUGGACACUGAGACCAUGAUGCCCUGUGACCAGGGGUGCUUCCAUUACACCAUCUUCUGCUUCCUCUGAGGAUCAAGUGACUUAGGUUUUUAUACCAGCAGUACAGAGACCACUGUACUGUUCUCAGCGAUAGAACAGCCAUUUGAAGCAUGGAAACUGCUACUCUUCUCCCCUUGCCAGGUCAGAAUAAAGCAACAUCACCUGGUUGGCUGAGAUGCUUUCAGUGGGCAGACGCUAACCGGUAUUUCCAUGGUGUGACAUGUUCUGUGUACACGUGGAUUCCUGUGCUCCCAGGAAUCCACAGCAGGAAACAAGCUCAUGAGAAUGCAGCCGUUGGAGUGGGUGGGGAUAUCACAGCUACAGGCUUUAGGAAUUACAAGAGGCAGUGAUGCGGGGAGGUCCCUCCUGCCACCACAGUGCAGGCUGGCAUAGCACAGGGCUGGAGACAGGCGUGCAAACACCUCCUUCAUCCCCCCAGUGCAAACCAAGCCUCUGUUUAUUUGUACCAUUUACCUGCUUCUGAAACAGGGGUAGUGCUACAUGAGGAAAAACGAAUUCAGGCUGUUCGGGACUUGCUUGUAAGGUAACACAAGGCUGAGGCAGUAUCACAAAGAGGACCAUGUGCCGCAGGACCACUUGCAUGCUGACGGAGCCAUUCCAAAUGUUUGUGUUGCAUCAGUUCUGCAAAUACUCUUUGUUACAGUGCAUAGAAGGUACCAUGCCUGUCAACAUUAGCUUUGUAAAGAGAGACCGUUUUCUUCGUUGACUAAUUAUCCAGUGAAUAUAUUCAGUUUGAAGAGACACUUCAAUAAUUUAGCAGGCAUGUGCCAGGUAAUACAGGAGCUUUUGUUUUACUAGCGGCAUAGAUCUUCAAUCAUGUGUAACUCAAUCUCUGGCUUUAUGUAUUCAAGGAAGUGUUUCGUAUAGCUCCUGUAUCAAGUGCCACUGAAAAGCAGGCCUAGAUAAAAGAUUAAGGCAAUGCUCUUAACUGUGAACAGGGAAAGUUUACCCUUUACUGUCCAGUAUAUCUGCUUUAUACGAGUGAAGUGUGUAUAUGCUGAGAUCCAAUAAUGAGUUUGUUGUGACAACAGGAAAAUGACUUAAACUGCAUGUUAAAUAACUGGGUCAGUUAAGUCUCCCUUCCUUACUUUAUGGGCUAUUAACAAACAAACUUUGUAGUUUGAUAUUGAAUGCUUUCUGUCAUUAAAGUUUCUUAAAUGC